rnacentral:misc_RNA from 1 species
GAAGCAUACUAUGACACUUCAAAUUAACCCAAAAGUACAACAGAAAAAAUUACAGAACUUCCGAACAGCAAACAAUUUUCAACUUUCAGAGCUCCCUGGAAGAAGUUUCCGAGUCGAGCCGGUGGUACCGAAACGAGCUGCUGCAGCAGGAAUGAUCCGAGAGGGAGACAGUACCUCUGCAAUCGAAACAUUGAAUGAGUCCGUCCCUAAUCUGCUCUGUAGCCACCCUUUACCACCUGAGAAUCCAUCAGUCAUGAUCCAGCAGUUCUUAAAACCGAAACCCGUGAGAGCUUUUGCUACUAAUUUCGCUGUAUCAGAAUACGAGUCCAUUAUCACGAUGUUAGUAUUUUUGCCAACUUUUUUUAGAUAAGAAAUCUUCAAUGCGGCAAUUUCUGCUUCAGCUUUCUUCACAUUCCGAACAAGACCCUUCAGAUUGCCUGGGAGUUCCUCUAGAGGUACUGCGAACAUCUUGCUCUUAGCAAUGUUGGGGAGGCGAGGAACACCUGCCUUGUUCUUGUCCUUAAUCGACCUUACGUCGAUAAGUACAUAAUUUUGUGAACUUACCAAGUCAAGCGUUUGAGCAGGACUGAGAUUGCCUUUAUACCCCCGAAAGUUGAAAGAUACUGCCGACCAUAGUGGUGGUAGGAGAAGGUAUGCAAGAAACGCUGCUCCAGCAGACACAACAAGCACUGCAGGAUCCGAAGAUGCAAUUGUUUCAACAGUCGUGGAAGCAAGAGGCUUAGCCCCUUCUAUAACUUUUGUGGUCUGCUGUGCUACAUCUGCAACUGUCUUAGCUGCAGAGAUAACAGACCCUGUAUCAACCCCGGCACUCUGCAGAGCUUUAGUAGCCUGCUUGGAGGCAUCAGAAACCACUGGAGAAGCAAUCUUCAGAAUUUCCUCGCCUGCGCUCCGCAGGACCGGAAGCGCCGCAUCUACUGCUGGCUCCAAAGCAUCUGUCAAGAUCUUAAUAACUGACUGAGUGAAGUCCAAUGCCUUAGCACUGGCGUCCCCAACCUGAUUCACUGUAUCUUCCACCUUAGUGAGAGAAGAGACAACAUCUUCUUUGGGGAAGGAGAUGGCCUUGGCUUCGG